AGUCGAGCGGUAGCACAGAGAGCUUGCUCUCGGGUGACGAGCGGCGGACGGGUGAGUAAUGUCUGGGAAACUGCCUGAUGGAGGGGGAUAACUACUGGAAACGGUAGCUAAUACCGCAUAACGUCGCAAGACCAAAGUGGGGGACCUUCGGGCCUCAUGCCAUCAGAUGUGCCCAGAUGGGAUUAGCUAGUAGGUGGGGUAAUGGCUCACCUAGGCGACGAUCCCUAGCUGGUCUGAGAGGAUGACCAGCCACACUGGAACUGAGACACGGUCCAGACUCCUACGGGAGGCAGCAGUGGGGAAUAUUGCACAAUGGGCGCAAGCCUGAUGCAGCCAUGCCGCGUGUAUGAAGAAGGCCUUCGGGUUGUAAAGUACUUUCAGCGAGGAGGAAGGCAUUAAGGUUAAUAACCUUAGUGAUUGACGUUACUCGCAGAAGAAGCACCGGCUAACUCCGUGCCAGCAGCCGCGGUAAUACGGAGGGUGCAAGCGUUAAUCGGAAUUACUGGGCGUAAAGCGCACGCAGGCGGUCUGUUAAGUCAGAUGUGAAAUCCCCGGGCUCAACCUGGGAACUGCAUUUGAAACUGGCAGGCUUGAGUCUUGUAGAGGGGGGUAGAAUUCCAGGUGUAGCGGUGAAAUGCGUAGAGAUCUGGAGGAAUACCGGUGGCGAAGGCGGCCCCCUGGACAAAGACUGACGCUCANGUGCGAAAGCGUGNGGAGCAAACANGAUUAGAUACCCUGGUAGUCCACGCUGUAAACGAUGUCGACUUGNAGGUUGUUCCCCUGAGGAGUGGCUUCCNGAGCUAACGCGUUAAGUCGACCGCCUGGGGAGUACGGCCGCAAGGUUAAAACUCAAAUGAAUUGACGGGGGCCCGCACAAGCGGUGGAGCAUGUGGUUUAAUUCGAUGCAACGCGAAGAACCUUACCUACUCUUGACAUCCAGAGAACUUAGCAGAGAUGCUUUGGUGCCUUCGGGAACUCUGAGACAGGUGCUGCAUGGCUGUCGUCAGCUCGUGUUGUGAAAUGUUGGGUUAAGUCCCGCAACGAGCGCAACCCUUAUCCUUUGUUGCCAGCGAUUCGGUCGGGAACUCAAAGGAGACUGCCAGUGAUAAACUGGAGGAAGGUGGGGAUGACGUCAAGUCAUCAUGGCCCUUACGAGUAGGGCUACACACGUGCUACAAUGGCAUAUACAAAGAGAAGCGACCUCGCGAGAGCAAGCGGACCUCAUAAAGUAUGUCGUAGUCCGGAUUGGAGUCUGCAACUCGACUCCAUGAAGUCGGAAUCGCUAGUAAUCGUAGAUCAGAAUGCUACGGUGAAUACGUUCCCGGGCCUUGUACACACCGCCCGUCACACCAUGGGAGUGGGUUGCAAAAGAAGUAGGUAGCUUAACCUUCGGGAGGGCGCUUACCAC
rnacentral:rRNA from 1 species